rnacentral:rRNA from 1 species
UACGGGGGGGGGCAAGCGUUGUUCGGAAUUACUGGGCGUAAAGGGCUCGUAGGCGGCCAACUCAGUCAGACGUGAAAUCCCUCAGCUUAACUGGGGAACUGCGUCUGAUACUGGUUGGCUUGAGUGCAGGAGAGGAAUGCGGAAUUCCAGGUGUAGCGGUGAAAUGCGUAGAUAUCUGGAGGAACACCGGUGGCGAAGGCGGCAUUCUGGACUGCAACUGACACUGAAAGACGAAAGCCAGGGGAGCAAACGGG